rnacentral:misc_RNA from 1 species
AGAUGUCUAUAUCCGGCUGGCUCAGUCUCUUUCACAUCCACCGUAUUGACAACUGGUACAGUAUCAAAGUUGUCUGCUACCCGUUUCUGUUUGUCAACUCUACGAUCAAUACCUUGCACAAUGUCUUACAGAGGUAACGGAAUGAACGGCCGUUCAACCAAUGGCUAUGGUGGAGGCGGCGGUGCCCGCAACGGCUAUGGUGGAGGCGGUGGCGGAGGCGGCGCUCGUAUGAGCAAUGGCUACGGAGGAGGCGGUGGUUAUGGUGGAGGCGGCAGGGGAGGUGGCUUUGGGGGCAAGUCAGGACAGCCGGGUGGAGCCCUUCGCAAACCCAACUGGAGCCAACUCGAUCUGCCCGAAUUCUCCAAAGACUUCUAUGUGCCUCAUCCUAAUGUCGCCAGAAGGCCUCUUACUGAAGUUGAGCAGUACAGGAAUAGCAAGGAAAUUACUGUCAAGGGACUCGUUCCAAACCCAAUCCAAUUCUUCGAAGAAGCUAGCUUCCCAGACUACGUCAUGGAUCAAGUCAAGAAACAAGGUUUCGAUUUCCCGACGCCAAUUCAAGCUCAAGGCUGGCCGAUUGCAAUGAGUGGCAGAAACAUGGUGGGAAUUGCUCAGACCGGUUCUGGCAAAACUUUAGCUUACGUACUGCCAGCGACGGUGCACAUCAACAACCAGCAGCCGCUGCAGCGCGGCGACGGGCCGAUUGCACUGGUGCUGGCGCCGACGCGUGAACUGGCGCAACAGAUCCAGCAGGUAGCUGAAGAGUUUGGCUCAGCCACCUAUGUACGCAGCACCUGUCUGUUUGGCGGCGCACCCAAGGGACCGCAGGCGCGCGCACUCGAGCGUGGAGUCGAGAUUGUCAUCGCCACACCUGGACGCCUCAUUGACUUCCUCGAGCGAGGCACCACCAACCUGCAGCGAUGCACCUACCUCGUGCUCGACGAGGCCGACCGUAUGCUCGACAUGGGCUUCGAGCCCCAGAUCAGGAAGAUCAUCGAACAAAUUCGGCCCGACAGACAAGUUCUUAUGUGGUCUGCCACAUGGCCAAAAGAAGUGAAGAAAUUGGCUGAGGAUUUCCUCCGAGAUUACGUACAAAUCAACAUUGGAUCCCUGCAGCUUUCCGCCAAUCACAAUAUUGUACAAGUAGUCGAUGUUUGCCAAGAACACGAGAAAGAAAACAAAUUGAUUAGACUUUUGGAACAAAUCUCUACACAACCUGAGAAUAAGACAAUGAUUUUCGCUGAAACAAAAAAGAAAGUUGAGCUGAUCGCGAAAGGAAUAAGACGCUCUGGAUGGAAUGCACUGUCAAUUCAUGGCGAUAAGAGCCAGCAAGAUCGUGACUAUGUUCUAAGAGAAUUCCGUACGGGCAGAUCAUCGAUCCUGGUGGCAACAGACGUUGCCGCCCGUGGCCUUGAGGCACAGUAUGAAGUGCCUCUGCUCGUUGCACGCUCUGUCUACCGUUUCGCUGGCCGCUGAAAUGGAAAGAGCUAGGAGCGUGGAGCGAGAUUUCUUGAAGACCUGGUGGAUUAUGAUGAUUGUGAUUAAAUUCUGAUUGUGAUGAUGAAUGGAGUAAAAUAAGAAGAGAAAGAUUUGGAGAAGGAGUAAUGCAGGUCGAAAUGAACAUAACCGCACUUUGAAUGCCACCCGCAGCGGCUCGCCGAGGCAUCUGCCUUUAUACUCUUGUUACACAUUGCACCUGUUUCUCUGUCUCUCAUCAAAUUAGUGGACAAGAAAGAGAGAGAGAGAACUAGAGAACCCCCUAUGAGGCAUUCAUGUACGUAGAUGAUGUGAAGUUUGUGAUAAACUAUGACUACCCGAACUCGUCUGAGGACUACAUCCACCGGAUCGGGCGAACUGGCCGUUCGGACCAGACAGGCACGGCCUACACGUUCUUCACGGCCAACAACGCCAAGCAGGCGCGCGACCUGGUGGGGGUGUUGCAGGAGGCCAAACAGGAGGUGCCCGCUGAACUGGUCGACCUCGCUCGUCGUGGAGGAUCCAUGGGUGGUGGACGAGGUGGCAGAUGGGGAUACGGCGGUGGCCGAGGAGGCGGUGGACGCUUCAACAACGAGAACAGGUUCUCCGGCAAGCCAGCAAUGCACAGGCGCUUCUAGAAUCUCCACAAGAGAUUUCUAAACUAUGAAAUGUGAUAACACCAGACCAAGCUCCACUAGUUCACUGUUAUUUCUUCUUCAAGAAAACUCCUACGAUCUCUGAACAUUCUUCAAUUUGUGAUUAAGUGUUGAAAAACAUUUCCUUGGUCAAUGAAGCUUGAGAAAGUUUUACGUACUAUGUACGUACCAGUAAAUUCCUUUGCUACAUGCAUCAAUUCUUUUAACCGUCUACUUACGAUUCUAAGAAAAUUUUGCAUUAUAACUUACAUUGGAAACGUUUAUUUUGAAUUCAUUUUAUCUUUCAACCAAAAUGGUUUGGAAAAUUCUUACAGGAAUUGAUCGCAUUUUUGUAGUUAUAUUUGUAAUUUUCAUUUAUCAAAAGAGUAGUUGUCAGUUUCUUUUUUAUGGUGUGUUUGAAGUUCAGUAUUAUUUUUGAGUUGAAUUGAAUCAAAGUAAAAAGCACUCACUAAGAAAGUUGUCAAUACGGUGGAAUUUAAAGCAUUAUGAUAUAUAACAUUUAUUCCAAGUCAAUUAAGCAUUCCCGUUCUCAAUUUAACUCGCUUUAAAAUCGCUGAGUAUACUUGUAACCACAGUAAUUCAAUUAAUUUUUCAAAUUCUAUGCUUUAUCUGGAAUAAAGAUUUCUAGAUUCCAUUGAUAAUUUGAUAAUUUAAUGACGUAUGGAUAUUAUUGAUAAAUUUAUUUUGCUUGAUCACUGUAUCAAACACGAACGGUUGGUUACAGCCUAAAAAUUGAGACUGCAUCAAAUCUGUAGUUUCGUAUAGCUGUGUGACCUUAUGAGUUAUAACAAAUAUAUUUAUAUUUUGUUUUUA